GCUUUUCAGAUAGCUCAGUCAGUAGAGCAGGAGACUCUUAAUCUCAGGGUUGUGGGUUUGAACCCCACAUUAGGCA
rnacentral:tRNA from 1 species